UGGGGAAUAUUGCGCAAUGGGGGGAACCCUGACGCAGCCAUGCCGCGUGAAUGAAGAAGGCCUUAGGGUUGUAAAGUUCUUUCGGUAUUGAGGAAGGUUGAUGUGUUAACAGCACAUCAAAUUGACGUUAAAUACAGAAGAAGCACCGGCUAACUCCGUGCCAGCAGCCGCGGUAAUACGGAGGGUGCGAGCGUUAAUCGGAAUAACUGGGCGUAAAGGGCACGCAGGCGGUUAUUUAAGUGAGGUGUGAAAGCCCUGGGCUUAACCUAGGAAUUGCAUUUCAGACUGGGUAACUAGAGUACUUUAGGGAGGGGUAGAAUUCCACGUGUAGCGGUGAAAUGCGUAGAGAUGUGGAGGAAUACCGAAGGCGAAGGCAGCCCCUUGGGAAUGUACUGACGCUCAUGUGCGAAAGCGUGGGGAGCAAACAGGAUUAGAUACCCUGGUAGUCCACGCUGUAAACGCUGUCGAUUUGGGGGUUGGGGUUUAACUCUGGCGCCCGUAGCUAACGUGAUAAAUCGACCGCCUGGGGAGUACGGCCGCAAGGUUA
rnacentral:rRNA from 1 species